AGUAACGAUAAAGCGGGUGAAAAGCCCGCUCGCCGGAAGACCAAGGGUUCCUGUCCAACGUUAAUCGGGGCAGGGUGAGUCGACCCCUAAGGCGAGGCCGAAAGGCGUAGUCGAUGGGAAACAGGUUAAUAUUCCUGUACUUGGUGUUACUGCGAAGGGGGGACGGAGAAGGCUAUGUUGGCCGGGCGACGGUUGUCCCGGUUUAAGCGUGUAGGCUGGUUUUCCAGGCAAAUCCGGAAAAUCAAGGCUGAGGCGUGAUGACGAGGCACUACGGUGCUGAAGCAACAAAUGCCCUGCUUCCAGGAAAAGCCUCUAAGCAUCAGGUAACAUCAAAUCGUACCCCAAACCGACACAGGUGGUCAGGUAGAGAAUACCAAGGCGCUUGAGAGAACUCGGGUGAAGGAACUAGGCAAAAUGGUGCCGUAACUUCGGGAGAAGGCACGCUGAUAUGUAGGUGAAGUCCCUCGCGGAUGGAGCUGAAAUCAGUCGAAGAUACCAGCUGGCUGCAACUGUUUAUUAAAAACACAGCACUGUGCAAACACGAAAGUGGACGUAUACGGUGUGACGCCUGCCCGGUGCCGGAAGGUUAAUUGAUGGGGUCAGCGCAAGCGAA
rnacentral:rRNA from 1 species